rnacentral:lncRNA from 1 species
GAAAUGGAAACUGUUAGGCACCAACAUAUCUAAAAAAACACAAGACAGCAGCAACUCAGUUGGUGAAGCUGCAGAAGAAGAUCCAGCCACGUCUUUGGAAUUCACAAAUGGCGCUCCUCAGGAAAAUGAUAAAAACGAAGGUGCAGAUUCUCCACCUGAGAUAAGCGAGAUAAUGCCUUCACACGUUGUGAGGAAUGCUCAUCAAUCUGGAGUUAACUGCCUUCAUGUUUCUCGCUCGAGCAGUUCUCCUGGUUAUGGCGAUGGUUUGAUGUUUAAUGUGAUUAGUGGGGGUGAUGAUCAAGCCCUUCAUUGUCUCAGCUUCAACAUCUUUAGUAGUAGUAGUAGUCCAGCCAACAAAUCUGAAAUCAUGGAUAAAAACAAAAACACAAAUCACAAAAUCAAUAUCACAGGCCGUGGAGGUGUUGCAUCAGCUCAUAGCUCUGCCAUAAAAGGUACUGUACUGCAAAAAAACUCUUUGUGGAUAAAAUCAUUUAAAUCUCUACUAGGCUAAUGUAUCUUUCACCAUUCCACUAAUGAAAGACUGAAUCUUGGUUUUGAUGCGAUGAAGGUGUGUGGAUAGACGCGAACUGGGUGUUCUCGACGGGCCUUGAUCAACGUGUACGAUGUUGGUUUCUUGAAAAAG